GUUAGAGUAUGAAGGGACGUCAUUUUCUGAGUGGAGUGUGCCGGAAACCUGUUCCGUGAAAAAUAAAAGGAUUCAGAAGAAGAACGCUAUUUAUUUGUGGACAAAUCUAGUACUUGCUUUCUGUGGUACUAUAGAGUUAUAAAUUUCCCUGAGGUU